GGCCUUAUAGCUCAGCGGUUUAGAGCAUUCGAUUGCAGUGUAAUAUGCCUGAUCCCAAUUCAUCGAAGGGUCCCGUGUUCGAGUCACGGUGAGGCCU
rfam:Fomitopsis pinicola FP-58527 SS1 unplaced genomic scaffold FOMPIscaffold_51, whole genome shotgun sequence.